rnacentral:rRNA from 1 species
UACACUCCUACGGGAGGCAGCAGUGGGGAAUUUUGGACAAUGGGCGAAAGCCUGAUCCAGCAAUGCCGCGUGAGUGAAGAAGGCCUUCGGGUUGUAAAGCUCUUUUGUCAGGGAAGAAACGGUGAAAGCUAAUAUCUUUUGCUAAUGACGGUACCUGAAGAAUAAGCACCGGCUAACUACGUGCCAGCAGCCGCGGUAAUAAGUAGGGUGCAAGCGUUAAUCGGAAUUACUGGGCGUAAAGCGUGCGCAGGCGGUUUUGUAAGUCUGAUGUGAAAUCCCCGGGCUCAACCUGGGAAUUGCAUUGGAGACUGCAAGGCUAGAAUCUGGCAGAGGGGGGUAGAAUUCCACGUGUAGCAGUGAAAUGCGUAGAUAUGUGGAGGAACACCGAUGGCGAAGGCAGCCCCCUGGGUCAAGAUUGACGCUCAUGCACGAAAGCGUGGGGAGCAAACAGGAUUAGAUACCCGUGUAGUCCC